rnacentral:sRNA from 1 species
ACCAACGAGUAUGGUUGCGGCCUCUAGA